rnacentral:rRNA from 1 species
UAUGUCUGUGAGUGGCAUACUGCUCAGUAACACGUAGCUAACCUACCCUUAGGACGUCGAUAACCCCGAGAAAUUGGGGCUAAUAGGCGAUAGAUGUGAUGUCCUGGAAUGGUAUUACGUCUAAUGGUAUCUCAUACAUGUUUGAGUUACGCCUAAGGAUGGGGCUGCGGCCGAUCAGGCUGUUGGUGAGGUAAUGGCUCACCGAACCUUUGACCGGUAUGGGCCAUGAGAGUGGUAGCCCAGAGAUGGACACUGAGACAAGGGUCCAGGCCCUACGGGGCGCAGCAGGCGCGAAACCUCCUCAAUGCACUAACGUGCGAAGGGGUUACCUCGAGUGCUACCUGAAGAAGGUGGCUUUUCCAUUGUCUAAAAAGCAUAGGGAAUAAGAGGGGGGCAAGACUGGUGUCAGCCGCCGCGGUAACACCAGCCCCUCGAGUGGUGGGGAUGAUUAUUUGGCCUAAAGCGUCCGUAGCCGGCUAGGUAAGUUUCCCGUUAAAUCCAGCGUCUCAAGCGUUGGACUGCGGGAAAUACUGUCUGGCUAGAGAGUGGGAGAGGUGUACGGUACUCUGGGGGUAGGGGCGAAAUCCUUUGAUCCCCGGAGGACCACCAGUGGCGAAGGCUGUACACUAGAACACGUCUGACGGUCAGGGACGAAAGCUGGGGUAGCGAACCGGAUUAGAUACCCGGGUAGUCCCAGCUGUAAACGAUGCAUGCUAGGUGUUGGGUUGGCCACGAGCCACCCCAGUGCCGCAGGGAAGCCGUUAAGCAUGCCGCCUGGGAAGUACGAUCGCAAGAUUGAAACUUAAAGGAAUUGGCGGGGGAGCACCACCAGGCGUGAAGCCUGCGGUUUAAUUGGA